AUCAUUUGUGGCUCAUAAACUUGAUGAUUGGGCAUUCACACCAUUUUAUGAGAUAUCCCUCUAUCAAAACUCUUUAUACCAUCUAUAUAUUAUUCAUUUGACA